rnacentral:rRNA from 1 species
AGAGUUUGAUCAUGGCUCAGGACGAACGCUGGCGGCGUGCCUAACACAUGCAAGUCGAACGCGUCUGUGCUUCGGCACAGGUGAGUGGCGAACGGGUGAGUAACGCGUGAGUAACUCCCCUUGGGGAGGGGGAUAACCAUCUGAAAAGGUGGCUAAUACCCCAUAUUCUCUUUUCUCAUAAGAGGAAGGAGGAAAGGUGGCGCAAGCUGCCACCCCGAGAGAGGCUCGCGUCCCAUCAGCUAGUUGGUAGGGUAAUGGCCUACCAAGGCUAUGACGGGUAGCUGGUCUGAGAGGAUGGUCAGCCACACUGGGACUGAGACACGGCCCAGACUCCUACGGGAGGCAGCAGUGAGGAAUCUUGGGCAAUGGGCGAAAGCCUGACCCAGCGACGCCGCGUGGAGGAAGAAGGCCUUCGGGUCGUAAACUCCUGUUUGGGGAGAAGAACAAGAGAGAAGUUAAUAGCUUCUCUCUCUGACGGUAUCCCCGGAGAAAGCUCCGGCUAAUUACGUGCCAGCAGCCGCGGUAAUACGUAAGGAGC